GCUUACGGCCAUACCACCCUGAACACGCCCGAUCUCGUCUGUUCUCGGAAGCUAAGCAGGGUCGGGCCUGGUCAGUACUUGGAUGGGAGACCGCCUGGGAAUACCAGUGCUGUAAGCU
rnacentral:rRNA from 1 species